AAUACACUGAAAAGUGCGAUGUGUUUAGCUUUGGAAUCAUAUUUUGGGAAGUUAUGUCAAGGAAGAAGCCAUUUUACGAAUUUAAUGAAAUGCAUCCAAUUGCAAUCCACAAAAAAAUAAUUGAAGAUAAUCGUCCGAAUAUAAAUGAAAUGAUGAUUUACGAGGAUUCCGAUUGCAUUAAACCAAUAAUAAAAAAAAUGCUGGGAUCAUGAUCCAGAAAAGCGGCCAACGAUGAAAGAGCUGUGUGAUUUUCUCCCUAAUUAUGAUAUAUACAUAUUCUUUAACGAGAUCCAAUUUGGGAAAGUGAUGAAACUUGGAGGAUAUUGUGAUUUUUUUAGAGCAAAUUGGCAAAACAAAGAAAUUGUUGUACAAAAAAUUAAAGACUAUAUUGAAGAAGACGGAAAAUCUUUCUUCAAAGAAAUUCGUAAUUUCAAAAGGUUGAACCAUCCAAAUAUUGUUACAUUAUAUGGUGUCUCCAAAUAUCCCGACAAUCGCUUAUACGUACUUUCUGAGUUUGGAGAUUGUGACUCACUUUAUGAUUGUAUACAUGAUAAUAAUUACAAGAUUUCAUACUAUCAGAAGCUGCGUUGGAUGUUGCAAUGUGCCAAGGCUUUGAAGUACUUGCAUAGCAAAAAAAAUAGUCCAUCAAUCUCUAAGUACGCGCAAUUUAUUACUGUUCGAUAAGUAUCGUGUUAUAAAAAUAAGUGAUGUUUAUCAAGUGAAGAAAUUUCG